rfam:Camelus ferus unplaced genomic scaffold scaffold64113, whole genome shotgun sequence.
AAAGUGGUUGAUCCUGCAGUAGCACGUGCCUCUCCCUAAAGUUAAUCCACAGGUGUGUAAGCUCUCACGGCUGGUACCGUGAUGUAAUGAAGGACUUUGAGUGGUCAUUUGGCUCCUACCUGCAGAGCUGUGGGAAUUCUGGAACUAAUCAAUGCCCAUGGGCAUCGGUUGCUAUUGCUGUGAUGGUUCUAGAUAACCUAGAUUGCACGUCCUGUGGCCCUGUCAAGAAGUAGUUGUGCCUACCUUGGUGACCACCAUGACUGAGAAUACAGAUUUGGUUCCAUAGAGGGAAUCUGGUAAUUGACUGUCACAACCAAGGAAGACAGCAGUCUGUGGCCCGGGAGGGCAGUGAUCGAAAAACAAUACUAGACUCUUUCAAGGUCCUGUAAUUGGAAUGAGUCCACUUAAAAUCCUUCAAGGCGGAUCCUUGCAGGGCAAACCUGGUGUUAGCACCUGCGGUAAUCCCUGGCUUCUGUAGCAGGGUAUGGAGUUUGGUGCCAUUAAAAUGUGUGAUCUGCUGUGCAGCAUUGGGUCCACGCCAGGGAACCUCUGUCUGCAUCCCCACCCACUGCUUCUCGGAGCCCUCGUGCCUUCUCGCUGAGUUUCCCUAGACUGAAGUGUGCACUUGAGGAAAUUAGGGUACUCAAAGCUGAUGCAAGCUGCAUGCACAUUGCUGCUGGGAGUCAUGGAAUGGGAGCGUGGUUCUAUUUUUUUGGGUUGGAAGUUUGAUUGCGGAUGCCAAUUAGAUGAAACGCCUGGGAAGUUUGUAUUGCACCUCUAGAGCUUAAAGUCUUAGAUAUAUGCAAGACCGACCAGAGUGGAAGCUUUUGCCGAGGGUGUUUUCAUUAAUUAAGAAUGAAGGUGAAAAUGGGAGGUUUGGAAAGGUUCAGUUCCCUUGUAGUUCUGAUGGUAAACCAUGCCGACCCACCAGCGUUAUUCCCAGUAAAGUGCCUGCAAUUUCUGGGAAAUCAAAGUUUUUUGGAUGGUAGUAGCUAGAGGGUCUGUUCCAAAGCUGAAAUUGAAAGGCACAGCGUUGUAAUCUUCGCUUAAUUUGACUCAGCCUGAACAACUCUACGCGACUCCCAUCGUGAACAGGAUUGGCACGUUAAUAUAGCUCUUCCAUGGGUGCUGGUGCAUGGCCUUUCUGCAUUGCUGAAAUGAUUUGUCUAGUUUAUUGAUAAUAACCAGGGAGACUAGCAUGCUAAACACCUAGGUCACCCCAAGUGCUCGAUAAUCCUAACUUCAGCAAGUGUUGUUUAGCCACCAAAGAUUGAGCAGUCACAAGUCUGUGAUGCUCUUAAGUGUCUGGGAUCACGCCACACUGCUCAGCAUGUGUGUAUCCUAUUUUGGUGGGUGCCGGGGAUUUAGUUUUAAAUCCAUAAAUGAUAAGCUCUGGGUUGUAAUUAUUCCUCACUAAUGAGGAGUUCCCUGUGAGAGAGUAGAUCAGAAGCUUGUGUUAAGUCCCUCCCCCUUGUUCACACUGCCUGUUGCCCCUCAGAUUGCCUGUGUGGGGUCGGUACUUGGCUUUGGUGGAUUGCUGAGAAGUUGGUGUGAAUGAAAGUUGAGACCAGGUUUUGGUAGGUUGUCCUGUGGGAAGACGGCAUUA